UCGAACGAUGAAGGAGGAGCUUGCUCCUCCGGAUUAGUGGCGAACGGGUGAGUAAUACGUGAGCAAUGUGCCCUUGACUCUGGGAUAAGCGCUGGAAACGGCGUCUAAUACCGGAUACGACCUUCGGAGGCAUCUCCUGUAGGUGGAAAGAACUUCGGUCAAGGAUCAGCUCACGGCCUAUCAGCUAGUUGGUGAGGUAACGGCUCACCAAGGCGACGACGGGUAGCCGGCCUGAGAGGGUGACCGGCCACACUGGGACUGAGACACGGCCCAGACUCCUACGGGAGGCAGCAGUGGGGAAUAUUGCACAAUGGGCGCAAGCCUGAUGCAGCAACGCCGCGUGAGGGACGACGGCCUUCGGGUUGUAAACCUCUUUUAGCAGGGAAGAAGCGAAAGUGACGGUACCUGCAGAAAAAGCACCGGCUAACUACGUGCCAGCAGCCGCGGUAAUACGUAGGGUGCAAGCGUUGUCCGGAAUUAUUGGGCGUAAAGAGCUCGUAGGCGGUUUGUCGCGUCUGCUGUGAAAACCCGAGGCUCAACCUCGGGCUUGCAGUGGGUACGGGCAGACUAGAGUGCGGUAGGGGAGAUUGGAAUUCCUGGUGUAGCGGUGGAAUGCGCAGAUAUCAGGAGGAACACCGAUGGCGAAGGCAGAUCUCUGGGCCGUAACUGACGCUGAGGAGCGAAAGCAUGGGUAGCAAACAGGCUUAGAUACCCUG
rnacentral:rRNA from 1 species